GUCCCCAGGUUGUCUGGGCUGAACAUUCUGACUCCUUCAGGCUUUGAAGAAGAGACUUUGUAUGUUUAUGAUGGAAGAAACUUGUGCAGAGGUUAUUCGGGGGCAAAAAAGGAAAUUAAGAAAGCCUCUUUCUCUGUCAUGGAUUGUCCACACAUACAGAAACACAUACUUCCAGAAACAGCCAAAGAUCUGCAGUUCUCGCUGAAGCCCAUAUUUUAGGUUGUUCCUGACUUUACCUCAGCCCACCUCCUCCUCCUCCUCUGGCGAGAAACUGUUGGAGUGAACACAGAAAAAUCGUGAGGUGAGAGAAACAGUCGCCAGUGAAGUUGGUGAUACCUGUGAGGAAACAAGAAUGCAAAGACAGAAGUUAUGUGGGGCAGGAUUUGAAAGAAAGGACAGAGGAGAGAUUGGCCCCACCCACCCGCUGCCUCUCUGCCUUUGGUACCGUACCACAAAGAUUCAGAAAGGCAAUGGCAUAAAAGCAGAGAGUGUGACUUUGGCCAUCAACCAGGGAACUUGUACUUACAAAGUUCUUUUGAAUAGAAGCUAUCAGAACAAGGCAACAGAAAACAAUUCAAAUUUCUCAGAGUUUAACUCGCAACUUCUUCCAGCAUUGUAUUUAUCUAUGGAUAUAUUUUAAAGACUGAUAGGUAAAUUUCCAGUUUACAAGGAAUGGCAAUCUAUCUGUUCUCUCAAGAGAAAAAGAGAUACUUCUCCAAUUCUGGCAGGCUCCAUAAUUCCUAAGACCUCCAAGCCUGCACCAUCACUGCCCCAAGGAAGAUAGCCCAGUUUCUUCUCUACCUCAGGCGACAGAAAUCAGAAAGGAAAGGCGAGAAAGCACAAAGCAAUGCGCUGGUCCUGUCAAACGUCUUCCAAGAAGAGCAAAGUGUGUCAUUAGAACGUACGGAGAUAAUAAAAGUUUCGACAAGGCAUUAAGAAUUGAGGAAGCCCGGAAAAUAUGCAUUCGGAUUAAAAGACUUCAAUAAGAAGACAAAGCAACCCGAUUACAGGUACCGUGUGUUUGACUUUAGGAUCGCAACCUAUCUAAUCUCAGGAUUUAUUUUUUAUUUAUUUUUAUUUACAAGGAGCACUUCAGACGGUGUUUGCAUGUUAGUUCCCUCUGCCCUGUGGACUGAAUAACUUUGCGCCGCUGCCAUGCUCAGGGCACCUGUGCACGAGCUAACUAAGCGAGACAUCUUUCCUUGGAUCGCCCUCUUUGAUCGGGAACUCGUGUGUGCUUCGCGGUGCACGUCUAGUUCCAAGGUUUCUGCAGGCUUUGAGCAGCUAGACUCAGUCCCCUUCAGUCUUUGUCAGCAAAAUCUGUUCUGCCGGCUCCAAGGCUGACUUGAGCAAGCGUCGUAUAGACGUGAGAGAUUGUUGGGGAGCCAAAAUAUGACGCGGAAAGGGGCGGAGGAAGAAGAACGGACUUGCCGGCAUGAGAGGCAAAGAAGCUGGGGUUCAAAGGACACGCUUCCUGCAGAUCGCUCGGCAUUUACCUCUUUCGCUUCCCCUUUAACCCCACACCCACCACCGCUUUAUCAACUCUUGCUGGUGUGGUUGGUUCUGUGUUGAAGCGGACUCGGGUGGCGCUCUUCCCUGCCUGCGUCGCGGGCUCUUGGGCGAGAAAAGCGCCUCAACUCGGCGCUCUUUGCACCUGACAAGACCUAGAACAGCCCAGGCAAGGCGACGACCCCUCUCUGUAACCCACUCUUCCUGCUUGGUUUUGUUUGGGAACCGGCAAAGGCCGGCCUGGUUGCUUCUUGGGGAAAUCAGUCGAUCAUGUCUGUGAUGAGAGCGAGAAAGAAAGGGGGGGGGGCGCAUACACACACACACACACACACCCGCCAUUUCUGGAGUUGAAAGGACUCGGCUCUAGAAGCGCUGUUGACCCUCCCCCAGCCGAUGUCCACAGCCCACCUCUCCCCCAUCACCCCCAUCCGCUGCAGGUCCCUGCAAAUCCUUGAGCGAGAUGGAGCUGCAGUCAUUUCCCUGCUAUCUGGCUCCAAGUUCAAUACUAUUGGUGACAUUUUAAUUUUCUCUCCUCUCAAGCUGGUGAGCUUUGCGCGUUGCAGGGACAAGGGACAAAGCCGGCGAGGGUCACAGCGGCCGGUUCUGUCAGCCCAUCCCGCGGCCUCUGAUUGACGUACGUCUCUAUCCUAACCCCAGCAGCUAUCAGCAUCAAGCCCUACCUGAGCCUUUCCUAGGGCUGUCUGUGUGUGUCUCUGACAAGUCUCCGGCGGAGGGGGCGGGGAGAGAUGAAAUGGGAAUUGAUCAUUUUUCUGUCUACGAAUGCCGUUUAAAAAGCAACCAAUCAGUCCUCUCCCUCCCCUCUCUUGUAGGUAGCUCGCUCCUUCCUUCCUGUUUCUUUCUCCCAUCCCUCCCUUGUUUUUGUGUCCCUCCAUCUCUUGUUAGGCCCCCAUAUAGGUGAAUUUCCCUUCCCACAAAGGCCCACCACCCUUCCUUUACUGCUUCCUGCACACGCCCAACUCUGGCUCGGAUCAGGAGACAAUUUGAAUCUACCGGCCGCUACAGGUGACCCACCCGAAUCUCCAGAGCUUUUGGUCACCCCCUCGUAGCAUCCUGCCCUCACCUGAUUUCAUACUCUCUCACAGCCAAUAUCUCCCAGCUUCUGGUUUAGUUCCAGUAGCAAACUGACAGCCAGAUCCCAGGCCUGUUUAUAUCGCUAGUUCCAACGUGUUCAACGGACUCCCCGGUAGGCUGAUAGGGUCGCAGCCUUAAUCUUAGAGGGGAGAAGGAGGGGAAGGUAGCUAUUACUAGAAAUGUAAUAAGGCAUGCUAAUGGGGGAGGGAGAGGACAAAGCCCGUUUCUGUCUUUACUGGCCAAUUCCGUUUCUCUUUUCAGUUGUUUAAAAUAACUGUAGUUCUGUUUCAGAAAAAUUAAUCGGCCUUCAUGGUUUCCUUUACUGAUUGGAUUACCAAAAAAAAAAAAAAAAGGUUUACAUGCUAAUUAACCGGGAAACCUGGAUGAAGAAGAUGACAUGGUGGAUAUGUACCUAUUGUUAAACCUAUGGGCACGAUCCAGCCAAAGCUAAGCCCUUCCCACUGAUCCCUAUAAAACUCAUUUAAGUAGGUGACCAUUAAAAUGAACGGGCUUAAUUAAGGGUGUCUAGCUUUGAUUGGAUCCUGCCUUUUAUUUUGAUUUCCCUGCAGUUCUUUAUCCACAGGAUAGUUGUUGUAAAACCAAGAGCUUUGCACAAGGGUGGUACAAAUUCAGGUCAAUUCAUCAACUAGACAAAUGGAAGGAGUUGGAUUUAAACCAGUUUAGUCCCAUCCAUUUCAAUGAAAAUAAUGUGGUCUGGGUAGUCCAGUUUAACCGCGUUAUAACUCAAAAACAGGAAUGGAUUCGAACGGCAACUUCUUGAUGCAAGUGAGGUUUUCAAGUCCAAGGCUUGAGGCGGAGGCUUGUUCUGCUAGCGGUCUUGGUGACUCGGUCAUUCGCACUUGUAGGCCUACUUUGGCCCCAGUUAAUCUCACACACAUCCUCAAAAGAGCCAGAAGGCUGAAACAAGAUAGAUAUGCUGAGCAAUGCUUUGGAGGCGGGGAAGGGUGCCCAUAAAGACCGAGGCCAUUUGGAAGGAACUUUGGCUCCUUUGGCCUGGAAGAGCCGGGGGAUGCUGUCGUCGACAUUGCUGGGUCGCAGCUGGGGUCGAGCCAAGAGGAAGCUUUUCUUGGCUGGCCUGAGCCAGGAACUGAUCGACAACAGAUCAAAUGUCUGGCGACGUAAUAAGGCCGGCUCUCGCGGAACUCUGGCAUCCAAGAGCAAGCCGUUCUCGGAGCCUGGCCUGGCCUUUCGCUCCGCGGCGGCGGGGUGCGCAGCGCGGUCCGGGGAGAGGCGGGUGGAGCCAGCCUGCACUUGGGCACAGAAGGCACUGCGCCGCCGGGCGGUGUCACUUGCUGGACUCAAGUUACUUCUGGAAGCAAAGCUCGCGGGGAUCCUCUCAGGUCCUGAUUUGAACUCCUUCCCAGUCGCCUUUUAUAGGGAAGAAAUUCGGGCGGGGGGGGGGCAACGAGGCCCCUGUUUCCCUUCCAAGAGCUCUCUCCUGGUCCCGCUUUCCCUGCGGGUCGUAGUUCUAUUCACAACCCCGCUUUGAUUUCCUGUCAUCACCGACCCACCACCUCAGCUUGUCCUUGCUCGUGAAGGAGGGACGAGCCAGCCCAGCUCGGUUGGGUCCCUUCUUCGGCCGCGCUUUACCCACUUCCCUUGGGCAGUCAAAGUGGGACUGGAAAGACACCCACUGCAUAUGCACUGUAAAAGUUUAACAGCGGUUGCAGCCAGGGGUGCUUCAAAAUUGCAAAGUUAAAUAUUUGUUUUUAAUUUUCUGGCUCAGAAAUUUUAACUGCCAGGCAAAGGCUGCUCCUGCGGCUGCUCUAAUGGGCUUGCAUAAAUAGUUUUGUUAUUACCACUUGUCUGCUAAAACAACAUUGGCUCCGCAUCCUGACACAUCGUAUUUAAAAACCUGGCAGCCAGGAGAAAUCUCUCAUCUAAUGUGAGGGGGGUGGGGGGAGCGACAGUGAAAUGAAUUUGCUUCCGUGUUGGGGGCGGGCGGGGUAAGGAAAGCUGGGCCGAGCGACUUAUACAGUCAGUUCGAAAAAAUUAACAAAACACGGCGCUUCUAUUAGUUUUUAAUUAGAUUUUGUGAUUUUCGACAUGUUUAAAGGACAAAACUGUGUGCUUAUGGAGGAAGACUUCCGCAGGAAUCUAUUUGAUUAAAUAUAUUUACUAUG